GUUAUUUAAACCUGAAAGGUUUCUUGGCUCAAGUUUGGACUUAAAGGGUCGUGACUUUGAGUUCCUACCUUUCGGUUCAGGAAGGAGGAUUUGCCCCGGACUUCCAAUGGCUACAAGACAACUUCCAUUGAUUUUGUCCUCUUUAAUACAUUGCUUUGAUUGGUCUCUUGAAAAUGGUGUGGAUCCUGCCGAGUUAAACAUGACCGAAAAGUUUGGCAUAACAUUGCA
rnacentral:misc_RNA from 1 species